GAUGAUUUGGCAGAUUAGUGUAUUAAGUUUAGAAUUUAAAUAAGUAAUUAAUUAUUACAUUCAUUA
rnacentral:tRNA from 1 species